rnacentral:rRNA from 1 species
GCUCUAUACCCUUUGUGAACAUACCUAUAACUGUUGCUUCGGCGGGUAGGGUCUCCGCGACCCUCCCGGCCUCCCGCCUCCGGGCGGGUCGGCGCCCGCCGGAGGAUAACCAAACUCUGAUUUAACGACGUUUCUUCUGAGUGGUACAAGCAAAUAAUCAAAACUUUUAACAACGGAUCUCUUGGUUCUGGCAUCGAUGAAGAACGCAGCGAAAUGCGAUAAGUAAUGUGAAUUGCAGAAUUCAGUGAAUCAUCGAAUCUUUGAACGCACAUUGCGCCCGCCAGCAUUCUGGCGGGCAUGCCUGUUCGAGCGUCAUUUCAACCCUCAAGCUCUGCUUGGUGUUGGGGCCCUACAGCUGAUGUAGGCCCUCAAAGGUAGUGGCGGACCCUCCCGGAGCCUCCUUUGCGUAGUAACUUUACGUCUCGCACUGGGAUCCGGAGGGACUCUUGCCGUAAAACCCCCCAAUUUUCCAAAGGUUGACCUCGGAUCAGGUAGGAAUACCCGCUGAACUU